CCUACGGGGGGCAGCAGUGAGGAAUAUUGGUCAAUGUGCGAGAGUCUGAACCAGCCAAGUAGCGUGAAGGAUGACUGCCCUAUGGGUUGUAAACUUCUUUUAUAUGGGAAUAAAAUGUUCCACGUGUGGGAUUUUGUAUGUACCAUAUGAAUAAGGAUCGGCUAACUCCGUGCCAGCAGCCGCGGUAAUACGGAGGAUCCGAGCGUUAUCCGGAUUUAUUGGGUUUAAAGGGAGCGUAGGUGGAUUGUUAAGUCAGUUGUGAAAGUUUGCGGCUCAACCGUAAAAUUGCAGUUGAAACUGGCAGUCUUGAGUACAGUAGAGGUGGGCGGAAUUCGUGGUGUAGCGGUGAAAUGCUUAGAUAUCACGAAGAACUCCGAUUGCGAAGGCAGUUCACUGGACUGCAACUGACACUGAGGCUCGAAAGUGUGGGUAUCAAACAGGAUUAGAUACCCUUGUAGUC
rnacentral:rRNA from 1 species